GACCGCACUGGUAGCCUAGUGAUUAGAGCGUCCGCCUCAGAUGCUGGAGGUCGCGGGUUCGAUCCUUGGCUGAGUCA